UGAGGAAUAUUGGUCAAUGGUCGCAAGACUGAACCAGCCAUGCCGCGUGCAGGAUGACGGUCCUAUGGAUUGUAAACUGCUUUUGUACGGGAAGAAACACUCCUACGUGUAGGGGCUUGACGGUACCGUAAGAAUAAGGAUCGGCUAACUCCGUG
rnacentral:rRNA from 1 species